rnacentral:rRNA from 1 species
CGCGCAGGCGGUUCUUCAAGUCAGAGGUGAAAGCCCAGGGCUCAACCCUGGAAUGGCCUUUGAGACUAGAGGACUUGGGUACGGGAGAGGUGAGUGGAAUUCCGAGUGUAGAGGUGAAAUUCGUAGAUAUUCGGAAGAACACCAGUGGCGAAGGCGGCUCACUGGCCCGUUACCGACGCUCAGGCGCGACAGCGUGGGGAGCAAACA